GGGGAUGUCGCUUAGUGGUAGAGCACUUGUCUAGCAUGUAAUUCUCUAUUUUGAAAAAAAAUCAUCCCCA
rnacentral:tRNA from 1 species